rnacentral:rRNA from 1 species
GACGAACGCUGGCGGCGUGCUUAACACAUGCAAGUCGAACGGAAAGGCCCUGCUUUUGUGGGGUGCUCGAGUGGCGAACGGGUGAGUCACACGUGUGUCACCUGCCCUUGAUUUUGGGAUCUCUUCAGGAAACUGGGGCUAAUACCGGAUAGGCGCUCCUGCUGCAUGGUGGGGGUUGGGAAGUUUCGGCGGUUGGGGAUGGACUCGCGGCUUAUCAGCCUGCCGGUGGGGUAGUGGGUUACCAAGGCUGUGACGGGUAGCGGGCCUGGGAGGGUGACCGGCCACAUGGGGACGGAGAUACGGCCCAGACGCCUACGGGAGGCAGCAGUGAGGAAUGUUGCACAAUGGGCGGAAGCCUGAUGCAGCAACGCCGCGUGCGGGAUUACGGCCUUCGGGUUGUAGACCGCUUGCGCCUGUGACGAAGCGUGAGUGACGGUAAUGGGUAAAGAAGCACCGGCUAACUACGUG